UACGUAGGGUGCGAGCGUUAAUCGGAAUUACUGGGCGUAAAGCGUUCGCAGGCGGUUUUGUACGCCCGAUGUGAAAUCCCCGGGCUUAACCUGGGAACUGCAUUUAGGACUGCAAGGCUUGAGUACGGCAGAGGGGGGUAGAAUUCCUGGUGUAGCAGUGAAAUGCGUAGAUAUCGGGAGGAAUACCGAUGGCGAAGGCAGGUCUCUGGGCUGACACUGACGCUCAUGCACGAAAGCGUGGGGAGCAAACAGG
rnacentral:rRNA from 1 species